rnacentral:rRNA from 1 species
GACAGAGGGUGCAAACGUUGUUCGGAAUUACUGGGCGUAAAGCGCGUGUAGGCUGCUCAGAAAGUCGGAUGUGAAAGCCCGGGGCUCAACCCCGGAAUGUCUUUUGAAACUGCCGAGCUAGAGUGCGGAAGAGGCAACUGGAAUUCCCAGUGUAGCGGUGAAAUGCGUAGAUAUUGGGAAGAACACCUGAGGCGAAGGCGGGUUGCUGGGCCGACACUGACGCUGAGGCGCGAAAGCCAGGGGAGCGAACGGG